rnacentral:rRNA from 1 species
GUCCACGCCCUAAACGAUGUCAACUAGGUGUUGGGGAAGGAGACUUCUUUAGUACCGCAGCUAACGCGAUAAGUUGACCGCCUGGGGAGUACGGUCGCAAGAUUAAAACUCAAAGGAAUUGACGGGGACCCGCACAAGCGGUGGAUUAUGUGGAUUAAUUCGAUGCAACGCGAAAAACCUUACCUACCCUUGACAUGCCAGGAAGGCCUAAGAGAUUAGGCUGUGCCCGAAAGGGAACCUGGACACAGGUGCUGCAUGGCUGUCGU